UUUCUUUAAUAGCACAUAUUCCCAAAAACUGAAAAAAUAUAGAGAAGAUUACCAUGGCCCCUGUCUGAAGAUACCUAAAUUCAUGAAGCAUGCAAUUUUUUU